rnacentral:tRNA from 1 species
GCAUUGGUAGUUCAGUGGUAGAAUUCUAACCUUCCACGUGGGAGACCCUGGUUUGAGUCCCGGCUGAUGCG